rnacentral:lncRNA from 1 species
UCACAUAUUUGAAAAUUCAAAACGAAUUUGAUCCGCUGACAUCGCUAACUAUUACUUUUUUUUAUCACUAAUCUUAACCUUUUUAAUUUUUACGUUUAAAAUAUUUAUUAUCUUUCACGAUGUCAGAUGUUAAAUUAUUUAUCCCCUCGAAUUCAGACUCAGAUUUGGAUGUUAUAUUUACAAUAUUUUUGAAUUCCGAUACGGAUACAUCAAAGUAUUUCGGACUCGGAUUCGAAUAUUUGAGAAUUAAUAUAAGUUAUUAAUUCAUAUAUAGUGUAAAAAAAAAAAAAAAAUGGCUAGUAUAGCUGAAAUGGUAGUGAGCUUUCUCGUAUAGAUCUACUCCACACUAAAAUCUCCCACUCUAUACAAUUGUCCCACUGGUGAUAUACGACAUUCACUCCAUAUAUAACCCCUACACGCAA